UACGAAGGGGGCUAGCGUUGUUCGGAAUUACUGGGCGUAAAGCGCACGUAGGCGGGCUUGUAAGUAGGAGGUGAAAUCCCAAGGCUCAACCUUGGAAUUGCCUUCUAGACUGCGAGUCUGGAGGUCAGGAGAGGCGAGUGGAAUACCGAGUGUAGAGGUGAAAUUCGUAGAUAUUCGGUGGAACACCAGUGGCGAAGGCGACUCGCUGGACUGAUACUGACGCUGAGGUGCGCAAGCGUGGGGAGCAAACAGG
rnacentral:rRNA from 1 species